rnacentral:rRNA from 1 species
UACGAGGGGUCCAAGCGUUGCUCGGAAUCAUUGGGCGUAAAGCGGGUGUAGGUGGCUCUGUAAGUCAGGAGUGAAAGCCCUAAGGCUCAACCUAGGAAGUGCUUUUGAAUACUGCAGAGCUUGAAUGUGAGAGAGGAGUCGUGGAAUUCCAGGUGUAGUGGUGAAAUACGUAGAUAUCUGGAGGAACACCGGUGGCGAAGGCGGCGAUCUGGCUCAACGAUUGACACUCAGACCCGAAAGUGCGGGAGUCAAACAGG